rnacentral:tRNA from 1 species
CGGCGACUGCCGUGCUCGCGGCGGCCGCGGCUGCGACCUGCGCGUUCGCGACACCGUUCGACUCGGCGGCCGUCGCC